GGUUUUACUUUAGUUAUUUACUUGUAUACCUCUGUUAUUGAAUGUUUUAUAAGGAAAGAUUUUCUUAAUAUAUUAUGUAUAUAAUAUCAGGUCAAGGUUCAGUUAUAUUAAAGAAGAAAUGGGUUACAUUAAUUUUAUUUUUGGAUUAAUAUUUUUGAUUUUAUUAUGAAAUUGGAUUUAAUAGUAAUUUCUUUUAAUUAGAAGAGGUGAUUUUAGGCUCUAAAUUAUGCACACAUCGCCCGUCACUCUCAUUAUUUUAAGGUGAGAUAAGUCGUAACAAAGUAGGCCUACCGGAAGGUGGGCCUAGUAUUAUAUA
rnacentral:rRNA from 1 species